rnacentral:tRNA from 1 species
GUCCCGGUAGGGUAGAGGAUAUCCUGAAAGCCUCCGGAGCUUUCGACCCGGGUUCAAAUCCCGGCCGGGGCG